rfam:Oryza brachyantha chromosome 3, whole genome shotgun sequence.
GAGGAUGAUGAUGUGUUAUUUGUCGCCCCAGUCUUAUGAUCCGCUGCAAUCGCGGAUAUAUGGUGAUUGACAUGUAAAAUCUGACUC